AGACACAUUCGGGUCGACUUUAUUACAUACCAUAUAUAAACAAACAACCCGGUCCUUUUGUUUCCCCAUUCUUCAUCUUCUCUCAUACGACAUUCAAUCCUUUUCCCUCUGCCCUUUCUGAAACCCUAAUUGCAUAUAACAUCAUCAGAUCCAGUCCAUCGAUCCUUCAUGUGGUUCAAGAUUUAAACUAAUAUUGAUCAAAGGAUACUUGCCGCAUCUGAUCUCCGAUUAAAUACAUAUUGUUUGAUACAUCGUGUUUCCGAUUUCGAAAACAUUCCAAACCCUAAAUAUCUGUCGUUUUCAUCUAUGGCGAUCUCAUCUAUGGCUUUAAAUCGUGUAAUCCGAUUUAGUGCCUAGAAUAUUGCAUUGCGAUGAAGAUGAUUAGAUCCUGUGACGGUGGUCUUACAGCAGAUCUAGGGUUUAACGGUGAUUCUAGGCGGCGGCUAGGACUCGGGUUAUAGUGCACGACAAGAAGGAUUUCUUGGUUCACCCAAAAGGCUCCUCAUUGAAGCUUCAAUAUCAAUAUGAGGAAUUUCUAGACAAAAACAAAGAUUAUGUUGUUCUCGGACAUCAAGAUAUGUUGACUACUUCUCAUUGUGUUUCUUUUUUUUUUCUCUGUCUGGUAUACUUUCCCUCCAUUGCAUGAUGAGGCAACUAACACUUCAAAUAAAUCUUUUAGUUUAUCAGAGAAAAAAAAGAUUUGAUUUGUUAUGUUUGUCAACUUGGGGUUAUAUUGGCGUGAGUCAUGGCGAAGUAUCUCGAUCACAUCAGAGAGGGGGUGGAUGCAUGUGGUUUGGCGUUUUUUGGGUUAGCUUUAAACAAAGUAUACAUUCGUUUAUUUGUUUUAUAUAUUUAUUUGAGAUUCAAUUAUUGUGUCAUGCUUUUUGAAUUGCUUAAAGGUGGAAACCUGGUCAUUGGUCGUUUUGUGUCAAUGGGCAGCCCUUCUACUUUCACUCUUGAGUAUUUUUGGGCUAUGGGGUAUAUGGUUUUUUUGACUCUUUUGUUAUUGGACUGAAUAUCGUUCAUGCUUUCAAGGUGGAGUCUAUAUUUAAUCACAACAAAAGUUCUGUCUACUUCUGAAUUUUUAUAGAUCAAUCUGGUGGCCAAUUCUUGAGUAUUUUUGGGCUAUGGGGUAUAUGGUUUUUUUUACUCUUUUGUUAUUGGACUGAAUAUCGUUCACGCUUUCAAGGUGAAGUCUAUAUUUAAUCACAACAAAAGUUCUGUCUACUUCUGAAUUUUUAAUAGAUCAAUCUGGUGGCCAAUGAAUCAUUUUCUUUAGCAGCACUUUCAGAUUUCACUGUAGGAAACUAGGCACCAAGGCAGUGUUGCUUAUCGCAAAGGCUCUUACAGCUGGAACCAUAUGCAACAACACAUCAGUCACACCCCUACCUGAUGUUGCUCUGAAUUGGUGGGAGUUGAGAUGUAUAUAUGGGCUAGAUUGAAGGACUUUGACAUUUUAAGAAAAACUAAUUGGAUUCCUGUACAUAACCUGUACACAACCUGAUAGAUUUUUUACAGAAAUAAAACGUAUGAAUUGGAAUAUGAAUACUAUAAUAUGCAGAUGUUAUGAAGUAGUUUUUAUUCUUUGAAUGGUGAAUCUAUAAGUCAGAGCAAAACGAGAGUUUUUUUUUUUGGAAUUUUGCAAUUUUUAGUAUGGUGGUCGUGGUCGUUAGUGUUGUGCUGACUUUUUGGUCAACAGUUUCUUCAAGCUCCUAUCAAUUUUGGAUUGAUGGGGCCCAGGGUAAUGGUGAAUGCCCAGAGUUUCGUUGGCUUAAUUGGAUGCCAUUGAAAAUUAGAUGCUUUACUUGGAGGUUAUCACUUGAUAGAAUCUUGGUAUCAGCGUCUCUGAUCAACAGAGAUGUGUGCUGAUACGUGAUAUGUUCUGCUCCCAAUGCUCCCUCGAGGCAAAGGACUUGGACCAUUUAUUCAUUUGUUGUCCGGUGGCCAAAGUCGUGUGAUUGAAGGUGUCCAAUUGGGUUGGGCAUAGAUAUUAGUUGUUGCUCCUCAUUUUUAGAGCUUUUGGUUUGGCUACGAAGUCUACAGGUUCCGCCCUAGAGAAGAAAAUGCUGGUCCUUAUUGUCUAUGCAAUGAUUUGGUUCUUAUGGUAACAUCGGAACUCAAGGAAGUUCUCUAUAAAAUGUGCCUCGGAUGAAGACCUCAGAUGCAAGUUUGUGAAGCCUUCUUUCGAAAACUUCAUACUCCCAACAAAAAAGUAUCCCGACAUCAUCUUCCCGCGUGGAGGAGACAACCAUGUAGCUAUUGAUUUAAUUGUCCAGCACAUUCGGACAAAACUUGGUCAACACAAUCUUUGCAAAAUAUAUCCCAAUUUAUACGUUAUUCACUCAACUUUUCAGGUUGUUGAGCAUGGUUUGGGACAUUUACCUUUUACGGAAAAGCAGGUGACAACUCCAACUGGUCGGUAUACACAGGCGUUGACUUCUGUAAUAGAUUAUGUGGCUUUUCUGUUAUUUCGACAUGAUAAAGGUAAGCAUAUUUAGAUACGGCAGAAGAAGAAAUCGGUUACAAUGAAAUCGGUUAAUUUCAGUGGAAGAAAAAGAGAAUGAGGAGAUUGAAGAGGAAGCGUCGAAAGAUGAGGCAGAGAUCUAAGUAAUCUUUUUGUUGGUAAUCAUCAUCGGUAUCGUAUUGGUUUCCGUUUUAUAUAUGUGUGAUUACCGAUUGGUAAGUUAUUGGGGUAACUCUAAUUAGGUUAUGACAAUAUGGUAGUCUCAUGGGCUUUACAGGCUGUUUUUUUCCAUCUUCAUGACAUUGAUUUUUUGUUUAAACAUAUGAAGUUGCAAAUAGAUUGUAGCAUUUUGAAAUCAAUUUUUAUGUCACAUUUUAAGCAAAAGUUGUCAUGGUUUUUGGAUUUUAGCUUUAAUUUUCAAGUUACAGUUUAUCAGUUAGGUCCAGCCUCAUUUUGUGGUGUCCUUGGUUUCCGGCCUUCACAUGGGUCUGUAUCCACUUUUGGGGUUCUCCCAAAUUCACAUAGUUUAGACACUGUUGGUGUGUAAUUUCGUUAUCUUCUAUAUUGUCCUGUUUAACCUUCUAAUUUGUUACAUGUUUGGCAUAAAACACAACUUAUUGGAGUAUUGAGGCUCUUAGUUUGUGUGAAAUCGACAGACCCGUAAGGAAUAUUUUUACAUCAUGGUUCUGAUAUUUAUUUACCAUUUUAACUGAUAGCUAUCCUACGUAUAAUUUUUAAUUGAAAAACCUCAGGAAUAUUUGCUCGUGAUCCUUUCUUAUUGAAUCGGGUUGGACAUGUUCUUCUUCAGCUUAACCAAGUGGAACCUAGAAGGACAAGACACAUAAUUAUGGCAGAUGAUUUAUUUCAGCUAUCUAAAGUUCCUCAACAGAAGACUGUAUAUAUUAUAAUCAAAGUAACUGAAAGUUAUCCGGUUACCACUCACCGAAGCAUAUGAACAUUGGUCAAUAUAUUUUGUCAAACGUACCAAGCCUUAAAUAUUUCCUACAAAUUGGAGCAAAUUCUUUGAAAGCUCUCUCUUUUCAACAAUGUUAUCACUACAGAGAUAUGAGUUCAAAACCAAUCAUGAAGAAUGGAUUAAUACAGUCAAGCCCAGGCUAGGAUCUGAUGUGUCUGAUAGCGUUCAUGCAGCAAUUACAGCCACACAUGAAAAUAUUGAAGCUUACUACAUGGUCAGAACUGAAAUGCGCGCAGCUCCAUUGGCGAAGCAUAGUGGGGGCGGGAGGGGGCGCCCGACCCCCCGAAGUUUUCGCUCAAUAGUGGAGAGUAUGUAGUUUUCGUAUAGAAAUUUUUAGGUGGUGCUUGGGGGUCGCCAGGAUGCAUCUGCUGUUACCACAACCGAUCAUCGUGCAGGGAAGUUUGAAGCCAAAUUUUAUGACAAGCUGCAAGAAGAGAUUGGAGGCGUUAAAGGACAUUUCGGGCCAAUUAUUUCACGAAAAUGAGUCAAUUAAUAUAUGCUUUUUGGCGACACUAGGCAAAAGCACCGAUGAUGCAGUUGUUGCUGGCUGUUGAAUGUCUAAAAUACCACUUACUUUAGAUUUGCAGAUGAAGAUACUAUUUUGACUAAGGAUGUGGACUUUCUUUGUGGGGUCGAAGUAAAUUUGACUAUGGGAUCAACUCAAAUAUAUAUUAUACACAUUAUUAUAACUUUUUUACACGUUAUUAUACUUUAAUUUUUCUAUUAUUGUUAACAAAAAUGAUUAAUAAAAUACGUAUUUAUAUUUAA